rnacentral:rRNA from 1 species
GACGGAGGAUGCAAGUGUUAUCCGGAAUCACUGGGCGUAAAGCGUCUGUAGGUGGUUAAAUAAGUCAACUGUUAAAUCUUGAGGCUCAACUUCAAAAUCGCAGUCGAAACUAUUAGACUAGAGUAUAGUAGGGGUAAAGGGAAUUUCCAGUGGAGCGGUGAAAAUGCGUAGAGAUUGGAAAGAACACCAAUGGCGAAAGCACUUUACUGGGCUAUUACUGACACUGAGAGACGAAAGCUAGGGUAGCAAAUGGG